rnacentral:piRNA from 1 species
AAGUGAGGGCAUCAGUUAGGGAAGAAC